rnacentral:rRNA from 1 species
GGGUUGUGAGGUUAAGCGACUAAGCGUACACGGUGGAUGCCCUGGCAGUCAGAGGCGAUGAAGGGCGUGCUAAUCUGCGAUAAGCGCCGGUAAGGUGAUAUGAACCGUUAUAACCGGCGAUACCCGAAUGGGGAAACCCAGUGUGAUUCGUCACACUAUCAUUAACUGAAUCCAUAGGUUAAUGAGGCGAACCGGGGGAACUGAAACAUCUAAGUACCCCGAGGAAAAGAAAUCAACCGAGAUUCCCCCAGUAGCGGCGAGCGAACGGGGAGGAGCCCAGAGCCUGAAUCAGCAUGUGUGUUAGUGGAAGCGUCUGGAAAGGCGCGCGAUACAGGGUGACAGCCCCGUACACAAAAGCGCAUGUGCUGUGAGCUCGAUGAGUAGGGCGGGACACGUGGUAUCCUGUCUGAAUAUGGGGGGACCAUCCUCCAAGGCUAAAUACUCCUGACUGACCGAUAGUGAACCAGUACCGUGAGGGAAAGGCGAAAAGAACCCCGGCGAGGGGAGUGAAAAAGAACCUGAAACCGUGUACGUACAAGCAGUGGGAGCACAGGUUUACCUGUGUGACUGCGUACCUUUUGUAUAAUGGGUCAGCGACUUAUAUUCUGUAGCAAGGUUAACCGAAUAGGGGAGCCGGAGGGAAACCGAGUCUUAAUUGGGCGUUAAGUUGCAGGGUAUAGACCCGAAACCCGGUGAUCUAGCCAUGGGCAGGUUGAAGGUUGGGUAACACUAACUGGAGGACCGAACCGACUAAUGUUGAAAAAUUAGCGGAUGACCUGUGGCUGGGGGUGAAAGGCCAAUCAAACCGGGAGAUAGCUGGUUCUCCCCGAAAGCUAUUUAGGUAGCGCCUCGUGAAUUCAUCUCCGGGGGUAGAGCACUGUUUCGGCUAGGGGGCCAUCCCGGCUUACCAACCCGAUGCAAACUGCGAAUACCGGAGAAUGUUAUCACGGGAGACACACGGCGGGUGCUAACGUCCGUCGUGAAGAGGGAAACAACCCAGACCGCCAGCUAAGGUCCCAAAGUCAUGGUUAAGUGGGAAACGAUGUGGGAAGGCCCAGACAGCCAGGAUGUUGGCUUAGAAGCAGCCAUCAUUUAAAGAAAGCGUAAUAGCUCACUGGUCGAGUCGGCCUGCGCGGAAGAUGUAACGGGGCUAAACCAUGCACCGAAGCUGCGGCAGCGACGCUGAUGCGUUGUUGGGUAGGGGAGCGUUCUGUAAGCCUGCGAAGGUGGCCUGUGAGGGUUGCUGGAGGUAUCAGAAGUGCGAAUGCUGACAUAAGUAACGAUAAAGCGGGUGAAAAGCCCGCUCGCCGGAAGACCAAGGGUUCCUGUCCAACGUUAAUCGGGGCAGGGUGAGUCGACCCCUAAGGCGAGGCCGAAAGGCGUAGUCGAUGGGAAACGGGUUAAUAUUCCCGUACUUGGUGUUACUGCGAAGGGGGGACGGAGAAGGCUAUGUUGGCCGGGCGACGGUUGUCCCGGUUUAAGCGUGUAGGUGUGUGUUCCAGGUAAAUCCGGUUCACUUUAACACUGAGGCGUGACGACGAGGCACUACGGUGCUGAAGCAACAAAUGCCCUGCUUCCAGGAAAAGCCUCUAAGCAUCAGGUAACAUCAAAUCGUACCCCAAACCGACACAGGUGGUCAGGUAGAGAAUACCAAGGCGCUUGAGAGAACUCGGGUGAAGGAACUAGGCAAAAUGGUGCCGUAACUUCGGGAGAAGGCACGCUGACACGUAGGUGAAGUGAUUUACUCAUGGAGCUGAAGUCAGUCGAAGAUACCAGCUGGCUGCAACUGUUUAUUAAAAACACAGCACUGUGCAAACACGAAAGUGGACGUAUACGGUGUGACGCCUGCCCGGUGCCGGAAGGUUAAUUGAUGGGGUCAGCGCAAGCGAAGCUCCUGAUCGAAGCCCCGGUAAACGGCGGCCGUAACUAUAACGGUCCUAAGGUAGCGAAAUUCCUUGUCGGGUAAGUUCCGACCUGCACGAAUGGCGUAAUGAUGGCCAGGCUGUCUCCACCCGAGACUCAGUGAAAUUGAACUCGCUGUGAAGAUGCAGUGUACCCGCGGCAAGACGGAAAGACCCCGUGAACCUUUACUAUAGCUUGACACUGAACAUUGAGCCUUGAUGUGUAGGAUAGGUGGGAGGCUUUGAAGUGUGGACGCCAGUCUGCAUGGAGCCGACCUUGAAAUACCACCCUUUAAUGUUUGAUGUUCUAACGUGGACCCGUUACCCGGGUUGCGGACAGUGUCUGGUGGGUAGUUUGACUGGGGCGGUCUCCUCCUAAAGAGUAACGGAGGAGCACGAAGGUUGGCUAAUCCUGGUCGGACAUCAGGAGGUUAGUGCAAUGGCAUAAGCCAGCUUGACUGCGAGCGUGACGGCGCGAGCAGGUGCGAAAGCAGGUCAUAGUGAUCCGGUGGUUCUGAAUGGAAGGGCCAUCGCUCAACGGAUAAAAGGUACUCCGGGGAUAACAGGCUGAUACCGCCCAAGAGUUCAUAUCGACGGCGGUGUUUGGCACCUCGAUGUCGGCUCAUCACAUCCUGGGGCUGAAGUAGGUCCCAAGGGUAUGGCUGUUCGCCAUUUAAAGUGGUACGCGAGCUGGGUUUAGAACGUCGUGAGACAGUUCGGUCCCUAUCUGCCGUGGGCGCUGGAGAACUGAGGGGGGCUGCUCCUAGUACGAGAGGACCGGAGUGGACGCAUCACUGGUGUUCGGGUUGUCAUGCCAAUGGCACUGCCCGGUAGCUAAAUGCGGAAGAGAUAAGUGCUGAAAGCAUCUAAGCACGAAACUUGCCCCGAGAUGAGUUCUCCCUGAGACUUAGAGUCUCCUGAAGGAACGUUGAAGACGACGACGUUGAUAGGCCGGGUGUGUAAGCGCAGCGAUGCGUUGAGCUAACCGGUACUAAUGAACCGUGAGGCUUAACCUUACAACGCCG